rnacentral:rRNA from 1 species
UCUGGCUCAGAUUGAACGCUGGCGGCAGGCCUAACACAUGCAAGUCGAGCGGAUGACGGGAGCUUGCUCCUUGAUUCAGCGGCGGACGGGUGAGUAAUGCCUAGGAAUCUGCCUGGUAGUGGGGGACAACGUUUCGAAAGGAACGCUAAUACCGCAUACGUCCUACGGGAGAAAGCAGGGGACCUUCGGGCCUUGCGCUAUCAGAUGAGCCUAGGUCGGAUUAGCUAGUUGGUGGGGUAAUGGCUCACCAAGGCGACGAUCCGUAACUGGUCUGAGAGGAUGAUCAGUCACACCGGAACUGAGACACGGUCCAGACUCUUACGGGAGGCAGCAGUGGGGAAUAUUGGACAAUGGGCGAAAGCCUGAUCCAGCCAUGCCGCGUGUGUGAAGAAGGU